rnacentral:rRNA from 1 species
GACGAACGCUGGCGGCGUGCUUAACACAUGCAAGUCGAACGAAGAGCGAUGGAAGCUUGCUUCUAUCAAUCUUAGUGGCGAACGGGUGAGUAACGCGUAAUCAACCUGCCCUUCAGAGGGGGACAACAGUUGGAAACGACUGCUAAUACCGCAUACGAUCUAAUCUCGGCAUCGAGGAUAGAUGAAAGGUGGCCUCUACAUGUAAGCUAUCACUGAAGGAGGGGAUUGCGUCUGAUUAGCUAGUUGGAGGGGUAACGGCCCACCAAGGCGAUGAUCAGUAGCCGGUCUGAGAGGAUGAACGGCCACAUUGGGACUGAGACACGGCCCAGACUCCUACGGGAGGCAGCAGUGGGGAAUCUUCCGCAAUGGACGAAAGUCUGACGGAGCAACGCCGCGUGAGUGAUGACGGCCUUCGGGUUGUAAAGUUCUGUUAAUCGGGACGAAAGGCCUUCUUGCGAAUAGUGAGAAGGAUUGACGGUACCGGAAUAGAAAGCCACGGCUAACUACGUG